CCUACGGGUGGCAGCAGUGGGGAAUAUUGGGCAAUGGGCGCAAGCCUGACCCAGCAACGCCGCGUGAAGGAAGAAGGCUUUCGGGUUGUAAACUUCUUUUCUCAGGGACGAAGCAAGUGACGGUACCUGAGGAAUAAGCCACGGCUAACUACGUGCCAGCAGCCGCGGUAAUACGGAGGUGGCAAGCGUUAUCCGGAUUUACUGGGUGUAAAGGGCGUGUAGGCGGGAAAGCAAGUCAGAUGUGAAAACCAUGGGCUCAACCUGUGGCCUGCAUUUGAAACUGGUUUUCUUGAGUACUGGAGAGGCAGACGGAAUGCGUAGUGUAGCGGUGAAAUGCGUAGAUAUUAGGCGGAACACCAGUGGCGAAGGCGGUCUGCUGGAGAGCAACUGACGCUGAUGCGCGAAAGCGUGGGGAGCAAACAGGAUUAGAUACCCUGGUAGUC
rnacentral:rRNA from 1 species